rnacentral:rRNA from 1 species
UACGGAGGGUGCGAGCGUUGUCCGGAAUCAUUGGGCGUAAAGGGCGCGUAGGUGGCCCGGUCAGUUCGUGGUGAAAGCGCGGGGCUCAACCCUGCGUCGGCCAUGAAUACUGCCGCGGCUGGAGCACUGUAGAGGCAGGCGGAAUUCCGGGUGUAGCGGUGGAAUGCGUAGAGAUCCGGAAGAACACCGGUGGCGAAGGCGGCCUGCUGGGCCAGGUUGCUGACACUGAGGCGCGACAGCGUGGGGAG